UACGGAGGGUGCGAACGUUAAUAGGAAUCACUGGGCGUAAAGCGCGCGUAGGCGGUCCGUUAAGUGGGAUGUGAAAACCCCGGGCUCAACCUGGGAACUGCAUUCAAAACUGACAAGCUAGAGUAUGGUAGAGGGUGGUGGAAUUUCCUGUGUAGCGGUGAAAUGCGUAGAUAUCGGGAGGAACACCUGCGGUGUAGACGGCUUACUGGACCAUAACUGACGCUGAGGCACGAAAGCGUGGGUAGCAAACAGG
rnacentral:rRNA from 1 species